AUUGAACUCUGGCGGCAGGCCUAACACAUGCAAGUCGAGCGAGCGGCGGACGGGUGAGUCAUGUCUGGGAAACUGCCUGAUGGAGGGGGAUAACUACUGGAAACGGUAGCUAAUACCGCAUACCAUCAGAUGUGCCCAGAUGGGAUUAGCUAGUAGGUGGGGUAAUGGCUCACCUAGGCGACGAUCCCUAGGUGGUCUGAGAGGAUGACCAGACAAACGGAAACUGAGACACGGUCCAGACUCCGACGGGAUGCAGCAGUGGGGAAUAUGGCACAAUGGGCGCAAGCCUGAUGCAGCCAGGCGGCGUGUGUGAAGAAGGCCUUCGGGUUGUAAAGCACUGUCAGCGGGGAGGCGUUACCCGCAGAAGAAGAACCGGCUAACUCCGUGCCAGCAGCCGCGGUAAUUC
rnacentral:rRNA from 1 species